UAGGGAAUCUUCCGCAAUGGACGCAAGUCUGACGGAGCAACGCCGCGUGAGUGAAGAAGGAUUUCGGUUCGUAAAACUCUGUUGUUAGAGAAGAACAGCGCAUAGAGUAACUGUUAUGCGUGUGACGGUAUCUAACCAGAAAGCCACGGCUAACUACGUGCCAGAAGCCGCGGUAAUACGUAGGUGGCAAGCGUUGUCCGGAUUUAUUGGGCGUAAAGCGAGCGCAGGCGGUCAAUUAAGUCUGAUGUGAAAGCCCCCGGCUCAACCGGGGAGGGUCAUUGGAAACUGGUUGACUUGAGUGCAGAAGAGGAGAGUGGAAUUCCAUGUGUAGCGGUGAAAUGCGUAGAUAUAUGGAGGAACACCAGUGGCGAAGGCGACUCUCUGGUCUGUAACUGACGCUGAGGCUCGAAAGCGUGGGGAGCGAACAGG
rnacentral:rRNA from 1 species